rnacentral:lncRNA from 10 species
UUUCUGAAUGCUCCAUUUGUGCCCUGCGCUGUGACGGGACUAGAGGAUUGAAGAAGGUUCAAGACCACUCACACUUGGGCACUGAUGGGCCUCUAUGGGGUCAUGGAAGGAGCCCUCAGGCAGUGGAAUGUCUCAGGUGACCCCUGCCAAGGGGCCAAGCCCAGCUUUUGUUGCUUAGCCUCCUCCAAGGAAAACCCUCCCUGGGAAAGUUCUGAUGAUCACCACCUCUGACCAAGCCAUACUUCCUGUAAGCACCAGAAAGAAAGUGAUUCCAGGUUCUAUUAUUGAACUUUACACUAUCGUUUCAACAAAAUAAAGUAUAUGGCUUUUA